GGCAUUUCUGGGCAGUGGAGUGUUAAACGGCCCCGGCAAGAGUGGCUCCCCCCACACACACUCACUGCCAGCCGAACCAAAUUGUACUUUAACUCCAGGAAAGAUGAAAUGCUGCCUCUCAUGAGGGUUGCUGUCUAUCCGGCAUCUCGUCGACAUUUAUGGAAGAAGAACUCGCCGUUGCGCGGUUUCCGCACGACUGACAAGCUCUGAAAAACGCAACGGUGAGUCUGUGUUUGGUUAACCUCAGAAAAUGCAUCUGUGCGCCCCGACUACGUUCAGAAAGAGAGACAUUUCUCUCCUAACCUCACUGAGGUGCUGCUGCUGACUGGACAACCAUCUCAGGUUGUGUCUCAGCGUUGAGGUCUGUUUUAAAUUUGCUGCGUAAGAUACACGUCUGACCUUAGAGGUCACUUUCUUGUGAGUUUUCACAUUUGACCCUGGACUGUUUUUGGGGUCACUGGGUCCCUCUGGGACCACUCAGCUCAACACCUCCAGUCCCACAAUUUCUUCCUUUAUUUUUUCUUAAAAGCUUUUUUUGUCCACCUUUUUUUUGACUACAAUCUGAUGUUAUCUGUUAUAUCUAUCUAUCUCUAGAUGGGCCGUGCCACCUGAUCUGUGGCAAAAAGUGUCCAUUCUCUCAGAUCGGGCCGUGGGAAUGUAUACAGUGUUAAAAACUGUCAGUGUCAAUCUGAUUUAACCUCUGAAACCCCAAAGCCCAACGGAGACACACUUUCAGACACCUCCCAGAUGUUUAUGUGGUUCUGAUGUGCAGCCACAUUUUUUUCCCAUGUACAUAACAAGCAAAGGUUUACAUGAGAUGAAUGAUUUUCUUUAAUUAUAAUAUAAUUUUUAUUUUUUUUGUAUCUGCCUAUUAUAAAAAUAAAGCAAAAAUGCAAAUACUUACA
ensembl:lncRNA